GUAUUACUACAACGACGAGCAUGCAUCGUAUGUACAAUCGUGUAUAUAGAAUAAAAUAAUGUAUGUACAAUGGUCGAGAAAUGUUAAAGAAAAAAAAUUUCACGGACGUGAGAUAUAUCGUAGGUAAAGUGUCGUAGCUAAAAUACGCAACAAAGGUAACAUUCUACGUGUAUACAUAUAUAUAAAAGGCGAUGGAGCUCUCCCGACCGAGAGAACGUGGCAAAAAGAGCAAUGGGAUAAGCAAGCGAGGGGUGGGGGGAGGGGAGGGCUAAUAGGCGAACGACCAAGUGCAAGGUUCCCGGCUUAGUAGUCGGAACCGGAGUAUCGUUUUACACCGAUCGAAAGUGUGCGGAACCAAACACGAGCAACAGGCUAGCGUUUCUUUCCUUGAAGUUUCUCGUUAUAUUAAUCGAAUAAUCUUAUAUAUCGAUGGAGUAUGAACGAGAAAAGUACAGCGAAGAGAGCGUAUCGUGAGAAGAUAAAUCGACGAAAGUAUGAGACAGAGAUGAUGAGACACCACCGAAAGAGUGAAAGAGAACGAGUACGAAACUGCGAAUACGAAAAUGGCAAUGGCGACGACGACGACGACCACAACGACGACACCAAGUAAAGACGAAGAUUAUUGUAACGACGACCAAGUCUACGAUGAAAACGUGUUUGGAUAAAAAAUGUUGGAUAAAUGCUAAAAAAAAAAAGAAAUAUUUUUUUUUUUUCACGCGUCGACGUCGAUUUCCCUGCUUCAGUCCAAUCGAUCCGUAUAAACGUAAACGUAAAUAGGCAACGUCGGGAGGCAAGAAAGUAGUGUUUCUCUCGUUGAAACGAAGAGAAUGGAAAGAGAUAACCGCGGAGACGAAAAGAGAAAAAUAAACGAACGUAAGGGAAAGAGAAGAUGGAUCGUAAACGUAAAUUGAGAAUUCGUGGAGAAACUGGAGCUUGCGAUUCGUGAAGGGAGGGGAGGAGGGAGAUAAAGUUAGGGAAGAGAAAGGGAAGAUCGAUAGUGAGGGGCGAAAGCGAAGCUAUAUUACCGCGUUAUUUUGGAUAUUUAGGUGGGAAAUUUCGAGCGAAAAUUUGUGUUCGAUCAGCUACUACGUAGUCGCGGAAGAAGAAUAUACCAGCGGAGAUCGAAUCGAGUGUUCGUAAUACAGGGGUAUCGCAAUCCGACUGGAUUCGAGCGUGGAGACAGCGCCAAUCUCGUUUCUUUUUUUUUUUUUUUUUUUUUUUUUUCUUUUUGCGACGCAAGUAACCGAGGUUAACCGAGGAGAUAUUGAAUAAAAACAAAAAAAAAAAAAAAAAAAAAAAAA